rnacentral:rRNA from 1 species
AAUGGGUCAGCGACUUAUAUUCUGUAGCAAGGUUAACCGAAUAGGGGAGCCGAAGGGAAACCGAGUCUUAACUGGGCGUUAAGUUGCAGGGUAUAGACCCGAAACCCGGUGAUCUAGCCAUGGGCAGGUUGAAGGUUGGGUAACACUAACUGGAGGACCGAACCGACUAAUGUUGAAAAAUUAGCGGAUGACUUGUGGCUGGGGGUGAAAGGCCAAUCAAACCGGGAGAUAGCUGGUUCUCCCCGAAAGCUAUUUAGGUAGCGCCUCGUGAAUUCAUCUCCGGGGGUAGAGCACUGUUUCGGCAAGGGGGUCAUCCCGACUUACCAACCCGAUGCAAACUGCGAAUACCGGAGAAUGUUAUCACGGGAGACACACGGCGGGUGCUAACGUCCGUCGUGAAGAGGGAAACAACCCAGACCGCCAGCUAAGGUCCCAAAGUCAUGGUUAAGUGGGAAACGAUGUGGGAAGGCCCAGACAGCCAGGAUGUUGGCUUAGAAGCAGCCAUCAUUUAAAGAAAGCGUAAUAGCUCACUGGUCGAGUCGGCCUGCGCGGAAGAUGUAACGGGGCUAAACCAUGCACCGAAGCUGCGGCAGCGACGCUUAUGCGUUGUUGGGUAGGGGAGCGUUCUGUAAGCCUGUGAAGGUGUGCUGUGAGGCAUGCUGGAGGUAUCAGAAGUGCGAAUGCUGACAUAAGUAACGAUAAAGCGGGUGAAAAGCCCGCUCGCCGGAAGACCAAGGGUUCCUGUCCAACGUUAAUCGGGGCAGGGUGAGUCGACCCCUAAGGCGAGGCCGAAAGGCGUAGUCGAUGGGAAACAGGUUAAUAUUCCUGUACUUGGUGUUACUGCGAAGGGGGGACGGAGAAGGCUAUGUUGGCCGGGCGACGGUUGUCCCGGUUUAAGCGUGUAGGCUGGUUUUCCAGGCAAAUCCGGAAAAUCAAGGCUGAGGCGUGAUGACGAGGCACUACGGUGCUGAAGCAACAAAUGCCCUGCUUCCAGGAAAAGCCUCUAAGCAUCAGGUAACAUCAAAUCGUACCCCAAACCGACACAGGUGGUCAGGUAGAGAAUACCAAGGCGCUUGAGAGAACUCGGGUGAAGGAACUAGGCAAAAUGGUGCCGUAACUUCGGGAGAAGGCACGCUGAUAUGUAGGUGAAGUCCCUUGCGGAUGGAGCUGAAAUCAGUCGAAGAUACCAGCUGGCUGCAACUGUUUAUUAAAAACACAGCACUGUGCAAACACGAAAGUGGACGUAUACGGUGUGACGCCUGCCCGGUGCCGGAAGGUUAAUUGAUGGGGUCAGCGCAAGCGAAGCUCUUGAUCGAAGCCCCGGUAAACGGCGGCCGUAACUAUAACGGUCCUAAGGUAGCGAAAUUCCUUGUCGGGUAAGUUCCGACCUGCACGAAUGGCGUAAUGAUGGCCAGGCUGUCUCCACCCGAGACUCAGUGAAAUUGAACUCGCUGUGAAGAUGCAGUGUACCCGCGGCAAGACGGAAAGACCCCGUGAACCUUUACUAUAGCUUGACACUGAACAUUGAGCCUUGAUGUGUAGGAUAGGUGGGAGGCUUUGAAGUGUGGACGCCAGUCUGCAUGGAGCCGACCUUGAAAUACCACCCUUUAAUGUUUGAUGUUCUAACGUGGACCCGU